UUCACAUAGUUUUUCCACCAUUCAUUUUUCCCACAGGGCUGUGUUUUGUUUAGGCUCACCGUGGUGUGAUGUUUUGAUAACCAUGUAAAUCUCUCUAGGACAAGGUGACUGAGGGUGAAUGUACACUAGAUAAAUAGCGGUAAAUUGCUGUGUGCCGCUUAGGCCGCCCGUUGUGACUCCGGCAAGAAUUCAGCAGAACAAGUUUGUAUGUAGGUCUGGUUAUUAAAUGGGUACAUAGUUCAUUAGUAAUAUCCUCUAAAACGCUCUGGUGACAAACUUUGCUGCCCUAUUUCCAGUUGUCCACAUGGCUGGGAGAACCUAUUCAAGUAAGUAAGUAAAUGGAUUUUGAAAAUGUAAAAAAACAAUGUAUUAUUAGCUAACUAGCUACAGUGCAGGCUAACUCAAAUGAGCUGAUAAAUUACCUAUCUAACCAACUUCAAAUACUGUAUAGAUAGAUAGCUAUCUAAGUGAAUUAAAUUUCACCAGCUACCUAACUUAAUAUUAGCUAGUUAUCUAUUUAUCACUGAAAAAACAAACUCCAAAUGCAUUUGUAGGUAGCUAGCUAACAGCCAUGGAGGGUGAAAGGAUAGCAGCCCCAACUGUCAGUGAGAGAGGAGGCUAUUCUGGAUAAGGCAUGUACUUUUGUGUAGUUCCUGUUCCUAAAAGUGAGGACUAAGAUAAUAGUAACAUAAUAUUCAGUGUGGUGUAAUUUGACUAUAAUGAAGUCUGUUUCUUGUGAGGUUUUCUGUCCUCAGAUAAAGAGCUCUAUGAAAGCCAGUCUACAUAUGAAGAGGUCCCAAUGAAGAGCAGUGGUUCUCAGUCCUGGGGACUCAAAGAGGGGCAUAUUGUUGUUUUUGCAUCAGCACUGCACAGCUGAUUCAAAUGAUCAACUCAUUAUCAAGCUUCAAGUGAUACCUUGUAACUGGAGAUUCCUACAGUUACCGUGUAGGGCACUGCAAGGUCGGGUGACCAGGGUCAUCUGGGACUGCCUCCUGGAGGAAUUCAGGUGUGUGAAGGCUACCGGUGUCCUGCGUAACUUCAUGAAGAUGGACUCGAGGACCAGGAGGGGACCUGCAGCUCACCGCCAAGUGCCAGAGAAGUCUGCUGCUCUGCAGGAUUGUUCAGUCAUUUUUUAAUCAAUGUUCAUAAAUUCCAAUUAUCUUUAUCUGGUCUUAAAUAAAACAGACAGAAUUCCAAGCU